GACGAACGCUGGCGGCGUGCUUAACACAUGCAAGUCGAGCGGAAAGGCCCUGCUUUUGUGGGGUGCUCGAGUGGCGAACGGGUGAGUAACACGUGAGUAACCUGCCCUUGACUUUGGGAUAACUUCAGGAAACUGGGGCUAAUACCGGGUAGGAGCUCCUGCUGCAUGGUGGGGGUUGGAAAGUUUCGGCGGUUGGGGAUGGACUCGCGGCUUAUCAGCUUGGUGGUGGGGUAGUGGCUUACCAAGGCUUUGACGGGUAGCCGGCCUGGGCGGGUGACCGGCCACACUGGGACUGAGAUAGGGCCCAGACUGAUAGGGGAGGCAGAAGUGGGGAAUAUUGACCAAUGGGCGGAAGCCUGAUGCAGAAACUCCGAGUGCAGGAUUGCGGAAUUCGGGUUGUAAACCGAUUUCGCCUGUGACGAAGCGUGAGUGACGGUAAUGUGUAAAGAAGCACCGGCUAACUACGUG
rnacentral:rRNA from 1 species